rnacentral:tRNA from 1 species
UAUGGAAUAAUUUAAUAGGUAAAAUAUCUCGAUUUGGUUGAGAAUUUGAUUGUUCGAGUCAAUCUUCCAUAA